GUGAGCAGUGCCAAAAGCAUCAUUCACAUACAGGUCAGCAAGAGAAGCUAGCUUCUUUGCGAACUCGGGAUCAUUCUUCUCUUCUUCCUUGUAGAAUCUCACAUUCUCAAGUAGUAAAACACCACCAUCGGGUAGUGCAGCCACCUUCUUCUCGACCUCCUCGCCAAUACAGUCAUUGGUAAUCUCGACAUUGUACCCGAGGAGCUCAGACAGUCUGGGGACAAGCGGCUUCAAGCUGUAUUUUGGGGUGACACCUUUGGGGCGUCCCAGAUGAGAGGAGAGGAUGACGCGCGCGCCGUGCUCCAUGAGAUACUUGAUCGUGGGGACGGCGGCGCGGACCCGGGUAUCAUCGGUGAUCUUGAGGUUAUCGUCGAGGGGGACGUUGAGAUCGACCCUCACGAACACGCGCUUCCCCUUCAGAUCCGCGCCCUUGAGAUCGCCGACGCUGCGCUUCGUCGCCAUUGAUGAAGAUCGAGAUCGGAAGAGGAGAGAGAAAUUGAGAUGGGGAAGAAAGCAAUGGGU
rnacentral:misc_RNA from 1 species